rnacentral:tRNA from 1 species
GCCGGAGUGGCGAAACUGGUAGACGCAUCAGCUUUAGGAGCUGACGCCGCAAGGUGUGAGAGUUCGAGUCUCUCCUCCGGCA